AGAUGCUGCCAGGGUCCCUGAAGAGGGAAGACACGCGGAAACAGGUAAAAACCAUUUUGCUUUUAUUUUGCAUUCAACAAGCAAGUUAUUAUGGAACAGCAGUUAUGGGCAAGGCAUACCUCCCAGAGCUGGGAACACAGGAGGUCGGCCCCGAGGUUCUGCAAGGCCCUCAACAGGCCUGGACUGGGGAGGUCUGGACAGCAUGGCCCUGUCCUGAGCCUCUGUGCGUAAUAACUGCGUCCCUAACCUCCACCCCACCCUCAGCCUUCCAAUUCCCGGGCCUGGGGCCCUACUCCUGUGCUCCAGAGACUCCUGGAGCUCCUUGAGGCAGCACACAGCCCUGCUCUGGAGGCACCCAUCUCCCACUCAUGCUGGGAUGCUCCAGCCCAUCCCAGAGCAGGGUGUGGCUGGAGGGUGCUGGCAGAGGAGGGACAAUGGCCUGGCUCCUGGAGGCAAGUGUUGGCUGCAGGGAACGGAGUUUAGUCCUUGCCACAGCCCUUGUUACCCCUUAGGUAACCUUAAGGGGAUUUCAAAGAACACUGGCUCUGCAACCCUGCUAAGUUUUUUAUGGAACAUGUAA
rnacentral:sRNA from 1 species